AGCGAACGCUGGCGGCAGGCUUAACACAUGCAAGUCGAGCGGGCACUUUCGGGUGUCAGCGGCGGACGGGUGAGUAACGCGUGGGAACGUGCCCUCUGGUUCGGAAUAACUCAGGGAAACUUGAGCUAAUACCGGAUACGCCCUUUUGGGGUAAGGCUUGCUGCCGGAGGAUCGGCCCGCGUCUGAUUAGCCAGUUGGUGAGGUAACGGCUCACCCAGGCGACGAUCAGUAGCUGGUCUGAGAGGAUGAUCAGCCACACUGGGACUGAGACACGGCCCAGACUCCUACGGGAGGCAGCAGUGGGGAAUAUUGGACAAUGGGCGGAAGCCUGAUCCAGCCAUGCCGCGUGAGUGAUGAAGGCCUUAGGGUUGUAAAGCUCUUUUAUCCGGGACGAUAAUGACGGUACCGGAGGAAUAAGCCCCGGCUAACUUCGUG
rnacentral:rRNA from 1 species